GCCUUAGUAGCGGCGAGUGAAGCGGCAAAAGCUCAAAUUUGAAAUCUGGCACUUUCAGUGUCCGAGUUGUAAUUUGAAGAAGGUAUCUUUGGGUCUGGCUCUUGUCUAUGUUUCUUGGAACAGAACGUCACAGAGGGUGAGAAUCCCGUGCGAUGAGAUGUCCCAGACCUAUGUAAAGUUCCUUCGAAGAGUCGAGUUGUUUGGGAAUGCAGCUCUAAGUGGGUGGUAAAUUCCAUCUAAAGCUAAAUAUUGGCGAGAGACCGAUAGCGAACAAGUACAGUGAUGGAAAGAUGAAAAGAACUUUGAAAAGAGAGUGAAAAAGUACGUGAAAUUGUUGAAAGGGAAGGGCUUGAGAUCAGACUUGGUAUUUUGUAUGUUACUCUCUCGGGGGUGGCCUCUACAGUUUACCGGGCCAGCAUCAGUUUGGGCGGUAGGACAAUUGCAAAGAAAUGUGGCACUGCCUCGGUAGUGUGUUAUAGUCUUUGUCGAUACUGCCAGCCUAGAUGAGGACUGCGGCUUCGGCCUAG
rnacentral:rRNA from 1 species